CCAUCAUUAAGUUGGGCACUCUAAGUUGACUGCCGGUGACAAACCGGAGGAAGGUGGGGAUGACGUCAAAUCAUCAUGCCCCUUAUGAUUUGGGCUACACACGUGCUACAAUGGACAAUACAAAGGGUAGCGAAACCGCGAGGUCAAGCAAAUCCCAUAAAGUUGUUCUCAGUUCGGAUUGUAGUCUGCAACUCGACUAUAUGAAGCUGGAAUCGCUAGUAAUCGUAGAUCAGCAUGCUACGGUGAAUACGUUCC
rnacentral:rRNA from 1 species